rnacentral:rRNA from 1 species
GUGAUAUGAACCGUUAUAACCGGCGAUUUCCGAAUGGGGAAACCCAGUGUGUUUCGACACACUAUCAUUAACUGAAUCCAUAGGUUAAUGAGGCGAACCGGGGGAACUGAAACAUCUAAGUACCCCGAGGAAAAGAAAUCAACCGAGAUUCCCCCAGUAGCGGCGAGCGAACGGGGAGGAGCCCAGAGCCUGAAUCAGUGUGUGUGUUAGUGGAAGCGUCUGGAAAGGCGCGCGAUACAGGGUGACAGCCCCGUACACAAAAAUGCACAUGCUGUGAGCUCGAUGAGUAGGGCGGGACACGUGGUAUCCUGUCUGAAUAUGGGGGGACCAUCCUCCAAGGCUAAAUACUCCUGACUGACCGAUAGUGAACCAGUACCGUGAGGGAAAGGCGAAAAGAACCCCGGCGAGGGGAGUGAAAAAGAACCUGAAACCGUGUACGUACAAGCAGUGGGAGCACAGAGCAAUCUGUGUGACUGCGUACCUUUUGUAUAAUGGGUCAGCGACUUAUAUUCUGUAGCAAGGUUAACCGAAUAGGGGAGCCGAAGGGAAACCGAGUCUUAACUGGGCGUUAAGUUGCAGGGUAUAGACCCGAAACCCGGUGAUCUAGCCAUGGGCAGGUUGAAGGUUGGGUAACACUAACUGGAGGACCGAACCGACUAAUGUUGAAAAAUUAGCGGAUGACUUGUGGCUGGGGGUGAAAGGCCAAUCAAACCGGGAGAUAGCUGGUUCUCCCCGAAAGCUAUUUAGGUAGCGCCUCGUGAAUUCAUCUCCGGGGGUAGAGCACUGUUUCGGCAAGGGGGUCAUCCCGACUUACCAACCCGAUGCAAACUGCGAAUACCGGAGAAUGUUAUCACGGGAGACACACGGCGGGUGCUAACGUCCGUCGUGAAGAGGGAAACAACCCAGACCGCCAGCUAAGGUCCCAAAGUCAUGGUUAAGUGGGAAACGAUGUGGGAAGGCCCAGACAGCCAGGAUGUUGGCUUAGAAGCAGCCAUCAUUUAAAGAAAGCGUAAUAGCUCACUGGUCGAGUCGGCCUGCGCGGAAGAUGUAACGGGGCUAAACCAUGCACCGAAGCUGCGGCAGCGACACUGUGUGUUGUUGGGUAGGGGAGCGU